rnacentral:rRNA from 1 species
AUUGAACGCUGGCGGCAUGCCUACACAUGCAAGUCGAACGGCAGCACGGGGCAACCUGGUGGCGAGUGGCGAACGGGUGAGUAAUGCAUCGGAACGUACCUUUCAGUGGGGGAUAACGUAGCGAAAGUUACGCUAAUACCGCAUAUUCUGUGAGCAGGAAAGCAGGGGAUCGCAAGACCUUGCGCUGAUUGAGCGGCCGAUGUCAGAUUAGCUAGUUGGUGAGGUAAAGGCUCACCAAGGCGACGAUCUGUAGCGGGUCUGAGAGGAUGAUCCGCCGCACUGGAACUGAGACACGGUCCAGACUCCUACGGGAGGCAGCAGUGGGAAUUUUGGACAAUGGGGGCAACCCUGAUCCAGCCAUGCCGCGUGAGUGAAGAAGGCCUUCGGGUUGUAAAGCUCUUUCGGCCGGGAAGAAAUCGCACGGGCUAAUACCCUGUGUGGAUGACGGUACCGGAAUAAGAAGCACCGGCUAACUACGUGCCAGCAGCCGCCGUAAAAC